UGUCCUGGUCUGUAUCUCCUAUAUCCUCCUCUGUCCUGGUCUGUGUCCCCUAGAUCCUCCUCUGUCCUGGUCUGUAUCCCCUAUAUCCUCAUCUGUCCUGGUCUGUAUCCCCUGUAUCCUCCUCUGUCCUGGUCUGUAUCCCCUAUAUCCUCCUCUGUCCUUGUCUGUAUCCUCUCUAUCCUCCUCUAGUCUGUAUCCCUCUAUCCUCCUCUGGUCUGUGUACCCUAUAUCCUCCUCUGUCCUGGUCUGUAUCUCCUCUAUCCUCCUCUGGUCUGUAUCCUCUAUCCUCAUCUGGUCUGUAUCCCCUCUCUCCUCCUCUGGUUUGUAUCUCCUCUAUCCUCUACUGGUCUGUAUUCUCUCUAUCAUCUUCUAGUCUGUAUCCUCUAUCCUCAUCUUGUCUGUAUCCCCUCUAUCCUCCUCUGGUUUGUAUCCCCUCUAUCCUCCUCUGUUCUGGACUGUAUCCCCUAUAUCCUCCUCUAUCCUGGUCUGUAUUCUCUAUAUCCUCCUCUGUCCUUGCCUGUAUCCUCUCUAUCCUCCUCUAAUCUGUAUCUCCUCUAUCCUCCUCUGUCCUGGUCUGUGUCCCCUAUAUCCUCAUCUGUCAUAUUCUGUAUCCUCUCUAUGUUCCUCUGGUCUGUAUCCCCUAUAUCCUCAUCUGUCCUGGUCUGUAUCCCCUGUAUCCUCCUCUGUCCUGGUCUGUAUCCCCUAUAUCCUCCUCUGUCCUUGUCUGUAUCCUCUCUAUCCUCCUCUAGUCUGUAUCCCUCUAUCCUCCUCUGGUCUGUGUACCCUAUAUCCUCCUCUGUCCUGGUCUGUAUCUCCUCUAUCCUCCUCUGGUCUGUAUCCUCUAUCCUCAUCUGGUCUGUAUCCCCUCUCUCCUCCUCUGGUUUGUAUCUCCUCUAUCCUCUACUGGUCUGUAUUCUCUCUAUCAUCUUCUAGUCUGUAUCCUCUAUCCUCAUCUUGUCUGUAUCCCCUCUAUCCUCCUCUGGUUUGUAUCCCCUCUAUCCUCCUCUGUUCUGGACUGUAUCCCCUAUAUCCUCCUCUNNNNNNNNNNGUUGACACAUUCUCAAGGCCGUGUGAUCGUUGGCAGAGUAGCGAGGUAUUCCUUUACAAAUCUGCAUUUGUUAAACACUUCAACACUUCCGUGAUUUCUGGGAAAUGCAGUCAUUUCUUGUUAGAUGUUUGCUUGUGA
rnacentral:lncRNA from 13 species